rnacentral:rRNA from 1 species
CGGCGGACGGGUGAGUAACACGUGGGUAACCUACCUAUAAGACUGGGACAACUUCGGGAAAACCGGAGCUAAUACCGGAUAAGAUAUCGAACCGCAUGGUUCGAUAGUGAAAGAUGGUUUUGCUAUCACUUAUAGAUGGACCCGCGCCGUAUUAGCUAGUUGGUGAGGUAACGGCUCACCAAGGCAACGAUACGUAGCCGACCUGAGAGGGUGAUCGGCCACACUGGAACUGAGACACGGUCCAGACUCCUACGGGAGGCAGCAGUU